rnacentral:rRNA from 1 species
AAAGCCUAGAUUCUAAUAUCCUAAGUCUGAGCAUUAGUAUCUGAACUCUGGGUAUCUGGCGGUCUGAUGUCUGGUCUAGUGGCGGACGGGUGAGUAACGCGUGAGCAACCUGCCUUACAGAGGGGGAUAACAUUCGGAAACAAAUGCUAAUACCGCAUAACAUAUAUUUACGGCAUCGUAGAUAUAUCAAAGGAGCAAUCCGCUGUAAGAUGGGCUCGCGUCCGAUUAGAUAGUUGGUGAGGUAAUGGCUCACCAAGUCUGCGAUCGGUAGCCGGACUGAGAGGUUGAACGGCCACAUUGGGACUGAGACACGGACCAGACUCCUACGGGAGGCAGCAGUGAGGAAUAUUGGUCAAUGGGCGAGAGCCUGAACCAGCCAAGUCGCGUGAAGGAAGAAGGUUCUAUGGAUUGUAAACUUCUUUUGCAGGGGAAUAAAGGACGGUACGUGUACUGUUUUGUAUGUACCUUGCGAAUAAGGAUCGGCUAACUCCGUG